rnacentral:rRNA from 1 species
GACGAACGCUGGCGGCGUGCUUAACACAUGCAAGUCGAACGGAAAGGCCCUGCUUUUGUGGGGUGCUCGAGUGGCGAACGGGUGGGUAACACGUGAGUAACCUGCCCUUGACUUUGGGAUAACUUCAGGAAACUGGGGCUAAUACCGGAUAGGAGCUCCUGCUGCAUGGUGGGGGUUGGAAAGUUUCGGCGGUUGGGGAUGGACUCGCGGCUUAUCAGCUUGUUGGUGGGGUAGUGGCUUACCAAGGCUUUGACGGGUAGCCGGCCUGAGAGGGUGACCGGCCACAUUGGGACUGAGAUACGGCCCAGACUCCUACGGGAGGCAGCAGUGGGGAAUAUUGCACAAUGGGCGGAAGCCUGAUGCAGCAACGCCGCGUGCGGGAUGACGGCCUUCGGGUUGUAAACCGCUUUCGCCUGUGACGAAGCGUGAGUGACGGUAAUGGGUAAAGAAGCACCGGCUAACUACGUGCCAGCAGCCGCGGUGAUACGUAGGGUGCGAGCGUUGUCCGGAUUUAUUGGGCGUAAAGGGCUCGUAGGUGGUUGAUCGCGUCGGAAGUGUAAUCUUGGGGCUUAACCCUGAGCGUGCUUUCGAUACGGGUUGACUUGAGGAAGGUAGGGGAGAAUGGAAUUCCUGGUGGAGCGGUGGAAUGCGCAGAUAUCAGGAGGAACACCAGUGGCGAAGGCGGUUCUCUGGGCCUUUCCUGACGCUGAGGAGCGAAAGCGUGGGGAGCGAACAGGCUUAGAUACCCUGGUAGUCCACGCUGUAAACGGUGGGUACUAGGUGUGGGGUCCAUUCCACGGGUUCCGUGCCGUAGCUAACGCUUUAAGUACCCCGCCUGGGGAGUACGGCCGCAUGGCUAAAACUCAAAGGAAUUGACGGGGCCCCGCACAAGCGGCGGAGCAUGCGGAUUAAUUCGAUGCAACGCGUAGAACCUUACCUGGGUUUGACAUGGAUCGGGAGUGCUCAGAGAUGGGUGUGCCUCUUUUGGGGUCGGUUCACAGGUGGUGCAUGCCUGUCGUCAGCUCGUGUCGUGAGAUGUUGGGUUAAGUCCCGCAACGAGCGCAACCCUUGUUCACUGUUGCCAGCACGUUAUGGUGGGGACUCAGUGGAGACCGCCGGGGUCAACUCGGAGGAAGGUGGGGAUGACGUCAAGUCCUCAUGCCCCUUAUGUCCAGGGCUUCACGCAUGCUACAAUGGCUGGUACAGAGAGUGGCGAGCCUGUGAGGGUGAGCGAAUCUCGGAAAGCCGGUCUCAGUUCGGAUUGGGGUCUGCAACUCGACCUCAUGAAGUCGGAGUCGCUAGUAAUCGCAGAUCAGCAACGCUGCGGUGAAUACGUUCCCGGGGCU